CACGAACGCUGGCGGCGUGCCUAAUACAUGCAAGUCGAGCGCAGGAAACUGACGGAACUCUUCGGAGGGAAGGCAGUGGAAUGAGCGGCGGACGGGUGAGUAACACGUAAGGAACCUGCCUCAAGGAUUGGGAUAACUCCGAGAAAUCGGAGCUAAUACCGGAUAGUUCAACGGACCGCAUGGUCCGCUGAUGAAAGGCGCUCCGGCGUCACCUUGAGAUGGCCUUGCGGUGCAUUAGCUAGUUGGUGGGGUAACGGCUCACCAAGGCGACGAUGCAUAGCCGACCUGAGCGGGGAGUCGGCCACACUGGGACUGAGACACGGCCCAGACUCCUACGGGAGGCAGCAGUAGGGAAUCUUCCACAAUGGACGAAAGUCUGAUGGAGCAACGCCGCGUGAGUGAUGAAGGUUUUCGGAUCGUAAAACUCUGUUGUAAGGGAAGAACACGUACGAGAGGAAAUGCUCGUACCUUGACGGUACCUUACGAGAAAGCCACGGCUAACUACGUGCCAGCCGCCGCCGUAAUAC
rnacentral:rRNA from 1 species